rnacentral:rRNA from 1 species
UACGUAGGGGGCGAGCGUUGUCCGGAUUUACUGGGCGUAAAGCGCGUGUAGGCGGCGGCUUAAGUCGGGUGUGAAAGCCCGGGGCUCAACCCCGGGAUGCCGCUCGAGACUGGGUCGCUUGAGGACGGAAGAGGGGCGUGGAAUUCCUGGUGUAGCGGUGAAAUGCGUAGAGAUCAGGAGGAACACCCGUGGCGAAGGCGGCGCCCUGGUCCGUUUCUGACGCUGAGACGCGAAAGCGCGGGGAGCGAACGGG